GGGGAGGGAGGUGUGUGGGGAGGGAGGGAGGGGAACUAUUGCAUUCAAUAAGUGAACUGAACAAGGAGCUGGUUUUGGAGAAUACGACAAAAUGGCUGUGGUUGCACUCUACCAAUCGGGGCGUUUAAAAAACGAAACUAUCUGAAGGGUUUGCAGAGGGAAAACAUCAUCACACAACCGGUCCUGGUGGCUUGCCGGUUAUAAACCGCUGAACGGUCGGUUCUCCGGGAGAGGCUGAAGCGAUCAGCGCCUUUUUUUUCUCAAUGCACAACAACGCCUCUACUAGCGGUGUGCAGUGAAUGAGGCGGCGGCAGCGGCGCACUUCUGAUGCUUCCCCUGGAUGCCAGACCUCCUCAGAGGGUCAGCAGAGCCACGCCGGGGGGCCUCCGGGCACCGACAUGCGCUGGAGGAGCCCAUCGAGCCCGGACGAUGGGAGCCAACGCCGUCGCCGUCGCCGUGCCGACGCCGACAGAGAUCCGCUCAACUUGGAGAGCCGACAGCGCCGCCAUAGGAGAUCCGAAGCUGCGUUUAAUAAUUGAUUCAUUAAUCAUCUAUAAGUCCAUUAAAUCAGAGGCUUCCUCUGGAAUUCUAAUCGCCCAGCCCCGGCAACGAUAAAGGCGCAGUAGGGCGGCCUUAUCUUUGUGAUUGCCUCUUCUUCCUGCUCCUCCUUUAAAAGAAAAACAACUGCAAAAUUAUUAAUGCGGACGGGGUAGGGAGACGGACGGACUACUCGACGUAGUGGAGGGAUGAUAAAUAAAGCAAAUCCUUUUAAAUGCUAAUGAAAAAUGGCUUUUUGAAAGUAAGCAUCACAACAAGUCUGUUAUGUUUUUGAGGGCAAUAUAGCUUCAAAUAGCUUCAUCAUGGGGAGCUGCCGGUGGUUAGACUGCAAACAAACGGUGGAGGGGAGAUCAAAGCCUCUGGUUGUUUUGUGAAGUAAGUCAGAGGGGGAUGAGCGUG
ensembl:lncRNA